AUACGGAGGAUGCAAGCGUUAUCCGGAUUUAUUGGGUUUAAAGGGUGCGUAGGCGGGACUGUAAGUCAGGGGUGAAAUACUGCAGCUUAACUGUAGCAUUGCCUUUGAAACUGCCGUUCUUGAGUACAGUUGAGGUAGGCGGAAUGUGGUGUGUAGCGGUGAAAUGCAUAGAUGUACCACAGAACGCCGAUUGCGAAGGCAGCUUACUAAGCUGUUACUGACGCUGAGGCACGAAAGCGUGGGGAUCAAACAGGAUUAGAUACCCUGGUAGUCCACGCUGUAAACGAUGAUUACUGGUUGUUAGCGAUAUAUAGCUAGUGACUGAGCGAAAGCAUUAAGUAAUCCACCUGGGGAGUACGUCGGCAACGAUGAAACUCAAAGGAAUUGACGGGG
rnacentral:rRNA from 1 species